GAACAUCCAAUUCCAUCUCUUUUACCCCCUCUUUUAUUUCUAGAUGAAAGUAAAGCAUUAAAAUCACUGAUAGCAGCCCAAUGCACUCCUCUAGGAUGUAUAACCAUACUAAGACCCUCCCAAAUUUUCCUCAUUUUUUGUUUGUCAGGACUCCCAUAAACAAAAACAAUACUAAUAGCUUAGGAUUGAUCUCUCUUUAAAAUCUGAACAACAAUAAAUUAGGGGUGAUUACGAAUUACCUCAACUGAAAUAUCAUCUUUCCAGCCAAGCUAGAUACCCCUCGAAUAACUAG
rnacentral:lncRNA from 1 species